UCCACAAGAAUCUCCGGACAAGAAAUGAAUAAAUAACCUCCUCCAUUCAGCCUUUUUUGUAACAGAAAAAUGGCAAAUAUUCGUCAAUUCUUUCAUAAAUACGUUCUUAUUAAUACCUAUUGAUAGAGAAUGGUAGGGAAGUAGUGGGUGCGUGGCGUGGGGGUUAUUUUCUCUCGAGACGGAAAGUCUGAACAUAUUCCAACUCUGUCGUGUUGUGAUUCAUUCACUCAUUCAUUCAAUGCCUUUUUCCACUGUCAAAUUCUAAUUAGCCUCUCUCUCGCUAGUAAAUUGAUUUAUCUUUUUCGAUUCUUCUGAAUAUAUUUAUAUAUCAAAUCUCAACAGGUUGCGCAAUUAUUGCUAUUUUAGGUUGCAGGUUCAAGCAAAUCCAACCCCACCCCGCACGCACCUUUAACCUUUGUUGUGUUUGGUUACUAUUUAUUCAACGAUAAUUGAUGAGUUGCUCCUAUGUUUCUUCAGCAUCGUUGUGCAGAUGCAGCGAGAGAUUUUAGUUAAAUCCACUUAACAGAAAUACCAACUUGCAAUGCCCUUGAGAACUCAGUAUUUUGUUUACAAAUCUGCACCAGUUCCCUUCUUUCUACAUGUGCACUACAGCGGUCUAACAUUUUGGGCUUUGCGGUUGGCAAAAUAAUGUAAAAGAGCCUGCCGAGGUAAUUUAACAAACUUGCAUAUUAGUGAUAUUGAAAAUCAUAUUUAGGAGUGCAGGGAAAAAGAUCCUGUCAUUCAUCGAGUCCAAAGAGACAUCAGAAUUUCCCUUGCAUUUCCCACAACUGACUAUACUGUACAUUUUUACUGCUGUUCUACUUCUACUUUGAAAAUCUUGAGCUGAUUUUCUGUAUACAACGCUUAAAAUGGUACCAAAACCUAACUCCCUGCAAUUUACCAUCCAUCUAGCACCCUAAUAUUAGAAGACAUCUGUUUAUAACAAAAAUUCUUCAGAUUUUACCUCACUACACUACUCUAAUGCUUGUCAUUCUCUUUACACUUCCAUAUCUGCAACAAUCAAAAUACAAACCAAGAACCACAUAGCUUCUCUUCUAACAAACAGAAA